AUGUAGUGUCCGGUGUUAGAGAUCCCUAUGCACAGGUGUCAGUAGUUGUGUGUGUCGGAGUGGAGAGAAGCGCCAUUUAUGAGGAAUAGAGUGAGAGCUCACUUGUGUUGUUUGAGUGAGUUCGUUGGGCAGUCGAAAUAUUCUACUGUUGCACCGAAUUUGUGUUUCUCCGUGUGCAAGAGAUCUUCAUGGGGCGAGUUUGAAGAGGCCUCCAUGACGGAGAUUGAGCAGGGGAGAAGCGAGACACGCGAGCGUACACGUGAAUUAUUAGUCACGUGACUGUUCCUGUACGGUGCAGCGCUUCAUAAAUGUGCAAACACGGCAACCUCCACCACCCCACCACCACCAGUUGAGUCCUGUCCUGCACGGGGGUAGCCUCCUCGCUCCUGCCUCCUCUCUCCAGCAGGAUAUGACGGUUCCGUGUACAACUUCUUUGGACUGUCAGAUGGGGCCUACGCCAAAGAGAGACAAUACAUUUCUGUUUUAUAUUCAUAAAUAAAUGUCAUCUUAAAUCUCACUCAAGUCUGCAAGUCUUCCUGAUAGAAAUUCAAAUCUUAAAAGUCAUGUAAAUUUCUAUGGUGACCAUACAUUUCUAGUUAUGGUUAGCUCUAAAAUAAUGCAUAGAAAUUGCCCUUUGUGAGUGCAGUCACUGGAAAAAUAUCAUUCCGGUAAUCUUCUGUUAAAACUUGUGUAUUAUUUGAACUGUAAACUUGUCAUGGUCCUGUUAAGUUUGUCAGUUUGUUCUGUUGUUUUGUUCUUUAUCUUCCUUGUGUGUCUCAGGCACUGCUGGCAUGCGUGAUCAGUGUUUUCAUGGGAACACUGAUUGUUCCCAUUGGAAUGCUGAUCAUGCCACUGCUGCUAGCAUGCUGGCAGCACCUGUUUCACUGCCUACUUAAACCCUUCGUUGUGUCAUGAUCUUUGCUAGAUUGUUGUUGUGUGUUCAAGUAGUUGGUCCUGUCUCAUGUAUCUAUAUUGGUUGCCCAUCUCUACCUGUGUGCCUGGAGUGUGGUUACCUUAGUUUGCUGUGCACUUGUUCUCUCUACACACACGACUUUUCAAUGGAGGAUUCCUCAUGUAUCUGCUCCUUACUACCAUGAUGCAUACUCACGCCUACAAAAACAUACUGCAUUCGGUGCCAGGUUCUCCAUGCUUUGCUAGCUCUGAUGAAUUGAU